rnacentral:misc_RNA from 1 species
UCCGAGUUGACCCCGGCAGUCUCCUAUGAGUCCCCGGCAUUAUCCGCUGGCAACAUAGGACGAGGGUUGCGCUCGUUGAGGGACUUAACCCGACAUGCCACCACACGAGCUGACGACAGCCAUGCAGCAUCUGUGUGGCACCCUCGAAGGUCACACGUUUCCGUGCGCUUGCAGCCACAUGUCAAGCCCAGGUAAGGUUCUUCGCGUUGCAUCGAAUUAAAGAACAUGCUCCGCUGCUUGUGCGGGCCCCCGUCAAUUCCUUUGAGUUUUAGCCUUGCGGCCGUACUCCCCAGGCGGGGUGCUUAAUGCGUUAGCUUCGGCACGGAGGGAGUCGACACCCCCCACACCUAGCACCCAUCGUUUACGGCGUGGACUAC